UCCACCCUGGGCUUUCACAGUCCCACGUGACACGAGUCUCCCUGCAUGUCGCACCUGUUGAUUUCACUGCCUGGAGUGCACUUCCCCAGCCUCUCAGCCCCUCCAUUUCACUUCUCAAACUCCAGCCUGGGCACCACCUCUCCUGCAAAGCCUUUUCCAACCACUCCAGCGAAGGCGGCUCCCCACUCCUUCCUUUGUGCUCUGGGGCCCAUCUUCCUUGGUGGCUGCUGCUGCGUGUGGCACCCACCACGUACCAUCAUUGCCCCCCACAGGCCAGUCCACAGGGCCUA
rnacentral:lncRNA from 1 species